rnacentral:rRNA from 1 species
AGUGAACGCUGGCGGUAGGCUUAACACAUGCAAGUCGAACGGGAGCACAGUAAGAGCUUGCUCUAACGGGUGGUGAGUGGCGGACGGGUGAGGUAUACAUCGGAACCUACUUUUUCGUGGGGGAUAACGAAGGGAAACUUACGCUAAUAACGCAUACGACCUACGGGUGAAAGGAGGGGAGUUUCGGACCUUGGGUGAUUGAAUGAGCCGAUGUCGGAUUAGCUAGGUGGCGGGGGAAAGGCUGACUGAGGAGACGAUCUGUAGCUGGUCUAAGAGAAUGAUCGUCCACACUGGGACUGGGACACGAUCCAGACUCCUACGGGGGGCAGCAGUGGAGAAUAUUGGGCAGUGGCCGCAAGCCUGAUCCAGCCAUGCGCCGUAGGUUGAGGAGGCCUUCGGGUUGGAAGGCCCUUUUGUUGCGAAAGAAAAGCAUCAGUUUAAGGCCCCGCUGUUCUGACGGUACCCAAAGAAUAAGCACCGGCUAACUUCGUG